rnacentral:rRNA from 1 species
AGAGUUCGAUCCUGGCUCAGGAUGAACGCUGGCGGCGCGCCUAACACAUGCAAGUCGAACGGCACCUAUCUUCGGAUAGAAGCGAGUGGCGAACGGCUGAGUAACACGUGGAGAACCUGCCCCCUCCCCCGGGAUAGCCGCCCGAAAGGACGGGUAAUACCGGAUACCCCCGGGCGCCGUGCCGACAACGGGUAGCCGGGUUGAGAGACCGACCGGCCAGAUUGGGACUGAGACACGGCCCAGACUCCUACGGGAGGCAGCAGUGGGGAAUCUUGCGCAAUGGGGGGAACCCUGACGCAGCGACGCCGCGUGCGGGACGGAGGCCUUCGGGUCGUAAACCGCUUUCAGCAGGGAAGAGUCAAGACUGUACCUGCAGAAGAAGCCCCGGCUAACUACGUGCCAGCAGCCGCGGUAAUACGUAGGGGGCGAGCGUUAUCCGGAUUCAUUGGGCGUAAAGCGCGCGUAGGCGGCCCGGCAGGCCGGGGGUCGAAGCGGGGGGCUCAACCCCCCGAAGCCCCCGGAACCUCCGCGGCUUGGGUCCGGUAGGGGAGGGUGGAACACCCGGUGUAGCGGUGGAAUGCGCAGAUAUCGGGUGGAACACCGGUGGCGAAGGCGGCCCUCUGGGCCGAGACCGACGCUGAGGCGCGAAAGCUGGGGGAGCGAACAGGAUUAGAUACCCUGGUAGUCCCAGCCGUAAACGAUGGACGCUAGGUGUGGGGGGACGAUCCCCCCGUGCCGCAGCCAACGCAUUAAGCGUCCCGCCUGGGGAGUACGGCCGCAAGGCUAAAACUCAAAGGAAUUGACGGGGGCCCGCACAAGCAGCGGAGCAUGUGGCUUAAUUCGAUGCAACGCGAAGAACCUUACCUGGGCUUGACAUGUAAUGAACAACAUGUGAAAGCAUGCGACUCUUCGGAGGCGUUACACAGGUGCUGCAUGGCCGUCGUCAGCUCGUGUCGUGAGAUGUUUGGUUAAGUCCAGCAACGAGCGCAACCCCUGUUGCCAGUUACCAUCGAGUAAUGUCGGGGACUCUGGCGAGACUGCCCAGAUCAACUGGGAGGAAGGUGGGGACGACGUCAGGUCAGUAUGGCCCUUAUGCCCAGGGCUGCACACGUACUACAAUGCCCAGUACAGAGGGGGCCGAAGCCGCGAGGCGGAGGAAAUCCUGAAAACUGGGCCCAGUUCGGACUGUAGGCUGCAACCCGCCUACACGAAGCCGGAAUCGCUAGUAAUGGCGCAUCAGCUACGGCGCCGUGAAUACGUUCCCGGGUCUUGUACACACCGCCCGUCACAUCAUGGAAGCCGGUCGCACCCGAAGUAUCUGAAGCCAACCGCAAGGAGGCAGGGUCCUAAGGUGAGACUGGUAACUGGGAUGAAGUCGUAACAAGGUAGCCGUAGGGGAACCUGCGGCUG